rnacentral:rRNA from 1 species
CCUACGGGCGGCUGCAGUGGGGAAUAUUGGGCAAUGGACGCAAGCCUGACCCAGCAGCUCCGCGUGUAGGAAGAAGGCUUUCGGGUUGUAAACUUCUUUUAUGGGGGAAGAGCAGAAUACGGUUCCCCUUGAAUAACGCCCGGCUAACUACGUGCCAGCAGCCGCGGUAAUAAGUAGGGUGCAAGCGUUGUCCGGAUUUACUGGGUGUAAAUGGCGUGCAGCCGGAGAGUCAAGUCAGAUGUGAAAACCACGGGCUUAACCCGUGAACUGCAUUUGAAACUGUUUCACUUGAGUGUCGGAGAGGGAAUCGGAAUUCCUAGUGUAGCGGUGAAAUGCGUAGAUAUUAGGAAGAACACCAGUGGCGAAGGCGGAUUACUGGACGAUAACUGACGGUGAGGCGCGAAAGCGUGGGGAGCAAACAGGAUUAGAUACCCGAGUAGUC